rnacentral:rRNA from 1 species
GACGAACGCUGGCGGCGUGCUUAACACAUGCAAGUCGAACGGAAAGGCCCUGCUUUUGUGGGGUGCUCGAGUGGCGAACGGGUGAGUAACACGUGAGUAACCUGCCCUUGACUUUGGGAUAACUUCAGGAAACUGGGGCUAAUACCGGAUAGGAGCUCCUGCUGCAUGGUGGGGGUUGGAAAGUUUCGGCGGUUGGGGAUGGACUCGCGGCUUAUCAGCUUGUUGGUGGGGUAGUGGCUUACCAAGGCUUUGACGGGUAGCCGGCCUGAGAGGGUGACCGGCCACAUUGGGGCUGAGAUACGGCCCAGACUCCUACGGGAGGCAGCAGUGGGGAAUAUUGCACAAUGGGCGGCAGCCUGAUGCAGCAACGCCGCGUGCGGGAUGACGGCCUUCGGGUUGUAAACCGCUUUCGCCUGUGACGAAGCGUGAGUGACGGUAAUGGGUAAAGAAGCACCGGCUAACUACGUG